CGUCAGGGAAUAUCUUUUUUCAGCGGCUGACAGCGCCCGUCUGGGCGGAUCUCAGUACAAUGGUUCAGCACCACGGACAGAACUUUAUGUUCUGACUGCAAAAUUGGUCCUGGAAAAGACAGUUAAAGCACCUUUUAUCUCUUUUAAACAAGAAAUGAGAUGGUUCUCAGCUGUGAGAAGUUUUACUGGGUUGCUCUGAUCAGAUGACUAAAAGACAGGAUAAAGAAAAAAAGAACAGGGAGAAGGAAGGAAGGAAGGGAAGAAGUAAAGAGUGAGAGAAAGAAUAAAGGAACACACAUAAUGAAGGAUGAAAGGAUUUCUUGAGAAGAUGAAUUAGAACAUCUGCCUUAAGGUUCUAGACCAGUGUAUGUAACACAAUAAACGUUCAAGGAAUGGUUGCUAUGAUGAUGACGACGAUGAAGAUGACAGCAAUGAUGAUGAUGAAAUGAGUUGGCUUCAGUCCAGAGCAGAAUAUGUGCCCAAAUAAAGUAUGAGGAUAUCAGCAGAUGCCAUUGGUGUCCCACCCGAAGCUGCAAACUUACUUAAAGUUUAUCUGCAGCUUCAGAGGACCAUUUCCAUAAUGACUGAUGGCAUUUUACCCUGGGUAUGUACUUACAUCUUUUUACCUUAAUGAUUUUUUUCUAGCUAUGGGAAUGUGCUUGGCUGGUUGGGACAUCUUGGACUGCUAAGGACUUACCAUUCCUAGAAUCAACCUCAAUCAAUGAGGGAUUGAAUUGGUGGAUAAAAUCCCCAUCUUGCUCAUCUCUUCUAUGUGAUACUUCUGAGCUUUAUUUCAAACAGUCUUUCAGAGGGCUUCUCAGCGGGACAUACUGGUUUCCCACAAUGAUAACCCACUGAUAAAUACUUGCUUUAUUCCUUUUCUCACUUGCUCACUCCCUGGAAUCCUACCCUACAUACAGCACUUCACCCACAUCCUUAUUGCACUUUCUGCAACAAGCAAGGGAACACUGAAAGCAGGGAGGUAGUUGUACAGUUUUCCAGUUGGGGUAUCCAGUAGGAAACCAGAAGUUGUACAGAGGACUCCACAUAAAUGUGGGUCAGCUCAGCAUAACAGCAAGGAGGAGUGGGUGGGUGUAAUAUAUAUAUAGUUGUCCUCCUCAAGCCCCUCUCAUUUUUUUGUGUUCAGUAGACCCUAAGCUGAGAACCUGUGAAGCUGCCAUUGAAUGCACUGUGGAAGAAUGAAGGCACUAUCUAGAGAAGUUUAUAGCAGAACACUGGACCGGGGUAUAUAUGAGGCACAUAACAUAAACCCAGGAGCUUUUAGCCAGCAAAACCUAAGAAGAGUAGAUUUGGCAAGAGGAAUAUAGUUGCUUUUCACAAUAAGUAUUAUCCAAGU